rnacentral:rRNA from 1 species
CCUACGGGUGGCAGCAGUAGGGAAUUUUCGGCAAUGGGGGGAACCCUGACCGAGCAACGCCGCGUGAACGAAGAAGUUAUUCGUAAUGUAAAGUUCUUUUAACAGGGAAGAAAGAGAAAUUUGACGGUACCUGAAGAAUAAGCUCCGGCUAACUACGUGCCAGCAGCCGCGGUAAUACGUAGGGAGCGAGCGUUAUCCGGAAUUAUUGGGCGUAAAGGGUGCGUAGAUGGCAGAGUAAGUGUUUGGUAAAAAUGCUGGGCUCAACCCAGUAGGGAAAAAGAUACUGCAAAGCUAGAGUAUGACAGAGGUAAGUGGAAUGACAUGUGUAGCGGUAAAAUGCGUAGAUAUAUGUCAGAACACCAGUGGCGAAGGCGGCUUGCUGGGUCGAUACUGACAUUGAGGCACGAAAGCGUGGGGAGCGAACAGGAUUAGAUACCCCUGUAGUC